GCCAUAUGGAUACAGAGGACAAUAAAACCUAUAUAAUUCCCCUUUCCUGCUUCAGUCUCCUGUCCAGUAAGUAUUGCUGCAAUUACGGCGAAAAAGGCUGUCUCAAACUGAUAAGAGUUCGCGAUGAAGAUUCUGAUCGUCCUCGCGGUCGUCUUGGUGGCUGUCUCGGCAUCCUCGUCAAUAUCUGCAGCUGAGAGGUACCGAAGAGGAUUGAUCACGCAAUCGCGAGAAAAGAAGAGCAUUUUCAAAGGAAUCUUUCCAGGCACGAAAUGGUGUGGUGCUGGCGAUAUCGCUGAAAAUUACUCGGACGUAGCGACAGGAGCUGGAGCCAAAGCUGAUCUUUGUUGCCGUGCACACGAUCAUUGCCCAAAAUAUAUCCCUGCCUGGGGUUACAAAUACGGUAUCUGGAACUGGAGAUUGUACACGAUGUCUCUUUGCGACUGUGAUAACGCGUUUCGUACCUGCCUUCACGGAAACCACGACCCUCUCGUCUCUGACGUAAUUGGUCAUACUUUCUUCGACGUUCUGGGGACGUCCUGUUUCACUUUAAGCGGGAAUAUAGAGUCCAAGAGAUACAACUCGUAACUGCACGCGAAUGUCAUGUGAUUUUCUGUCAGACGAAGCAUUACAAAUUGAAUAAAUAUUGAGAAAUUUCA